rnacentral:rRNA from 1 species
GAAUCCCGUCUUUGGCAUGGAUGACCGGGGCUUUUGUGAUGCGCUCUCGAAGAGUCGAGUUGUUUGGGAAUGCAGCUCAAAAUGGGUGGUGAACUCCAUCUAAAGCUAAAUAUUGGCGAGAGACCGAUAGCGAACAAGUACCGUGAGGGAAAGAUGAAAAGCACUUUGGAAAGAGAGUGUAACAGUACGUGAAAUUGUUGAAAGGGAAACGCUUGAAGUCAGUCGCGUCGGCCGAGACUCAGCCUUGCCUCGGCUUGGUGUACUUCUUGACCGACGGGUCAGCAUCAAUUUUGCCCCUUGGAUAAUGGCGAGGGAAAUGUGACACCUUUAUAGGUGUGUUAUAGUCUCUCGUCGCAUGCAAGGGUCGGGAUUGAGGAACUCAGCACGCGCCUUCGGGCGUCGGGGCCUUGCCCACGAUACGUGCUUAGGAUGUUGGCGUAAUGGCUUUAAACGACCCGUCUUGAAACACGGACCAAGGAGUCUAACAUGCCCGCGAGUGUUCGGGUGGAAAACCCGUGCGCGCAAUGAAAGUGAAAGUUGGGACCUCUGUCGCGGAGGGCACCGACGCCCGGACCAGAGCUUCUGCGACGGAUCUGCGGUGGAGCGUGUAUGUUAGGACCCGAAAGAUGGUGAACUAUGCCUGAAUAGGGUGAAGCCAGAGGAAACUCUGGUGGAGGCUCGUAACGAUUCUGACGUGCAAAUCGAUCGUCAAAUUUGGGUAUAGGGGCGAAAGACUAAUCGAACCAUCUAGUAGCUGGUUCCUGCC